ensembl:lncRNA
CUGCUGAGCUCUUUUCUGUGGUCUCUACUCUCCUCCCACUGGCCAUGUGGCUUCAGAGCUAGGUAAAUUCAAGACUUGGUGAAAAACAACAACAACAACAUAAAAAAAAAAAAAAACAGGCACUCGGGUGGAGGACUCCUCCUGAGAAGUCAAACCUGCAUAUCUGGUGAGGGAUGCAGAGUCUGUAUGCGUUGCUGAACUCAGGUUCAGCUGCUCACCACUCAGAAGCCAAUAAUUUGAGAGGCAAGUGUCAGUGAAAGGAAAGGUGCUUUAAUCAGAGAAGCCGGCAGUCUGGAGAGAAGGUGGACUUGUGCACUGACACCAGCUGUGAAGAUUCUGCUCAGCCAUACCAGUUUUUAAAGGGAAAAAUUGGUGGGAAGAAUCUCAGUGAAUCAUCUAGACAGGAGGUUGGGUUCUUCAUCAUUCUCCAUUGUGUACAGACUGGCUGACUUUGUCUUCAGAUGCUAUCUUGCCUGCAUGAUCUGCCUGCAGGAUUACUAAGAAAAGAAUCAACAGUUUAGACAAGGCUCGGGCUUCCCAGGUAGUGCUGGUGGUAAAGAACCCACCUGCCAAUGCAGUUGACUUAAGAGAUACAGGUUCGGUGCCUGGAGGAGGAAAUGGCAACUCACUCCAAUAUUCUUGCCUGGGAAAUCCCAUGGACAGAGAAGCCUGGCAGGACACGACUGAAGCGACUUGGCAAGUAUGGAGUGCAUUCAGGAGAGCUAAGGAGCACUAAACACAGAGUUCAGAGUCUGUGUUUGGAAAGGUGGCUGAGCAUGAUCAGCAUGAACAGGCCUAAGAUGGAGUCCAGGCCCUAUGAAUUCCUUCUUCAUUGGCAGUUAUAGUAUUUGUAAAACAACUCAAGAACAUGCAUCAGACAGAGUCUGUGACUCUCUCGUCCUCAUCAGUAACUGCUUGGUUUGGUACAGGGAGAAGGGUGAGGGAAGGGUGGGGCCACCGCAGGCUAAUAGAUUCCGUUAAUAUCCUGAGGCCCACCCUAAGGUGGGUCCCCACCCUCUCCAGCCCUGAGUUCCUGCCUGAGUCAGCCUGGGUAAAGGGUAGGGAGUAGCCACUCCCAUCCAUAGUCUGGAGGGAGCCAGAGCAGAGGGAGGCUCACUUGGGGAUCCUACUGUAACAGGAGGGAAAGGGGCAAAGCACUACUUUUGAAAGAGUGACAUAGCCCAAGGACACAACAUAAACCGAUUAGAAUCAAAUGGGACUGAGAUGGCAGACAAGACUAGACCUUAAUCCUCAACCAGCAAGUGAAAAAAAAUGACACACCCAGAAGUGCCAGGACAGUUCCAAGGCACUGUCAAGACUAAGGAGAGGAUGGUGGCCCAAAUCCUGGAAAUCUCUGCCCCUUCCCAAAAAUAGUUGGAAUAAUCCUCCCACUCAUUAACAUAUGAAAUGACCCAGCUGAUAAGAACUAACCACACCCGGUUUGGCUGCUGCGCUCCCUCUUUGCCAUGGCCUACACUCUGUGGAGUGUGCCUCUUUCUGUAGCUGAAUAAAUUCAUUUCUCA